rnacentral:rRNA from 1 species
UACGUAGGUGGCAAGCGUUGUCCGGAUUUAUUGGGUUUAAAGGGUGCGUAGGCGGUCUAUUGAGUCAGUUGUGAAAUACGGCAGCUCAACUGUCGAGGUGCAAUUGAUACUGAUGGACUUGAGUACUGAUGAGGUAAGCGGAAUGGACGGUGUAGCGGUGAAAUGCUUAGAUAUCGUCCAGAACACCGAUAGCGAAGGCAGCUUACUAAGGAGUAACUGACGCUGAGGCACGAAAGUGUGGGGAUCAAACAGG